CAAAUCCCAAUCUAAUAUAACUUUUCCACCAAUUGAAUUUUUCUUUCAUUUUUUUCUUUUGGUCAUAUUUCAUCAUUCUUCCCUAGCAAGAGAUGUAGGACUUGGGGAACUGUCCCUUUUACCGGUAUUAUCGAAUCAAACACGCUGAUUUUGCUUAUAGUACACACCCUUUACGCCUCAAUGGCCAACCCCAUAUCUUUCAUCUCUCCAUAAAAUCUCGUUUCAGCUCUUCCCACAGCCAUUCAUUUGGGAUCUCUGUUUCCAUAUCGGUAACUACUCUGUUUCUAUUAUAUCUCUCCUUUAAUUUCAUCAUUAUACUUUUAAAUUUGUUUUUUCUUUUUUCUUUUUCUGUCAUAAUCAAAGUAUUUAUUUUCUUGUCAAAUCAUAUAAAUUUCUUCACUAUCCACAUCCUCUUAUAAUUCCCAUUAAUGUAUCUGACAUUGUCAAUUUCGUUUAAGAUCUGUUGUUUUAAACUUGGGGUGUUUGUUAUUUUUUUGAGAAUAAAUUUAUAAUUUUUGUGGGUUUCCAAAAUGUUAGCUAUUAGCUUUGAAUCCACUAAAAAAUAAUAUGCUACUGGCAGUUUAGUAGUUGGUUAUGCACUUUGUUCAAGCGUACUUGCUGUUAUAACCAAAUUCAAUUACCUAGGUUUAUUGACUGCAUUACAUUACUUAACUUCUGCUUUAGGGGUCUGGCUUUUGGGAAAAUUUGGAUUUUUACAUCAUGAACCAUGCGAAUGUGGAUACUUCGAUAGUGUUUAGAUCACUGACACCCUUUUUGGGUUGCCUUGGCUGAUACAACCUUUAGGAGGCAAACCUUGUCCUUCAAAGCUCACAUUUAUGUCUCUUUUGAUCAUUUUGGGUGGUACUGUUGAGUAUGUAGCUACUGAUUCCGCUUUUACUUUGAUUGCUUAUUCAUGGGCGUUUGCGUAUUUGGCUACGAUCACCACUGAAAUUAUUUACACCUUGGAUUGAGUUCUUGGGGCUUUGUGUUGUACAAUAAUUUGUUGUCCUUAUGAUGUUAGAAAAGGUGGUACGCAAAAGAAACUUAUGAAGUAAGAAAGUAAAAUUAAGGAAAGAAACAAAUAGGCUUGAAGUGUGAUUCAUUGACUUGGCUUUAAUUUGCUUCAUAUAGACACUUAUUACGUAACCUGUGGUACAAGUUACGUUUUUCUCUAACAUUGUAACUUUUCAGAAAAACUAUGUUUUUUUCAUUUAAUGUAUUUUCUGAAAGUUUGGUAUUCAAAUAUAUUUAUUCAACGCAAAUAAAAUAAUUGUUAUAAUUAUUUCGAAAAUAAAAAAUAAUAACUAUAUGUACAUAAAGCCCAAGAAUCUACCAUUUGACCUGUAAAUAUGUACAUAAAGUCUAAUAGGUAAGCCCACUUAACUAAUGGGCUACACUCUCAAUUAUCCAAAUUGUAAAGAAUUUAAUAUUUGUUAGCAAGGUGGGAUUAUUAACAUUGCAAACUAUUAACAGAUGACCUAUAUUUUAGGUUUUGAUGGGAGAAUACGAUUAGAUUGUUUACCAUGAAAGUUCCAAGCAAGAACAGGGACCAAAAAUGGAAAUUAAACUAGUACCAACACAACCUCAAAGAGAUAAUCAAGAUAGCUAUGAGAUGCAUAUAACAACAGAGGGUAGUUCUGAAGCAGGGGAAGGCAUCUUUGGUUCUCAGAAGUUGGUGUGGGAUGAUAUGAUCAAGUCAGGUGUUGGAAGUAGGAGCAUGGGAGGGAAACAAAGUUGGGUCGGGUUGGGGAAGAAGAAGAAUGAAAUAUGACAAAAAAGAAGAAAAAAAAAAGGAAGAGAAAUUUUUUAUUGGUGAAAAGAGUUAGGUUAGUGAGAAUUUUCUAACGGUAGUAACUAAAUUACAUUUAUUUUAUUUGAGGGAUCAAAAUGAAAGGGCUUAAAAAGUUGAGUAAUCAACUAGGUAGUUUAUCUUAAUUUAUUUUAUUUAAUUUUAUAGCAAUAUAGGAGGACAUGGGUUCGAUUGUACUGAAUCUCAUUAUCCUCUUAUUUAUGGAGAGGGACUAUGUAUAGUUUUAAACAUUGUCUUCUCAAAAAGAAUUUUCUAACGGUAGUGACUAAAUUACAAGUUUUUUUUUUAUUUGAGGGAUUAAAAUGAAAGCACUUAAAAAGUUGGGUAACCAACUAGGUAGUUUAUCUUAAUUUAUUUUAUUUAAUUUUAUAGCAAUAUAAGAGGACAUGGGUUCGAGUGUACUGAAUCUCAUUAUCCUCUUAUUUAUAGGUUGGAGAGAGACUAUGUAUAGUUUUAAACAUUGUCUUCUCAAAAAGAACAUAUAUGAAUUCAAAAAAAAUUCUAUUACUUUGUAAUUAAAAAUAUAAAAAUAAAUAAAUUAAAUAGAAAAUAAAUAGAUAAACAAUACUAAUGGCAUAUACAAGUCUGGAACAUCUCACAUAGUUUAAAAAAGUAAUUCUAUUCAUCCUAACUUGUUCUUGUCACUAGCAUAUACAAGUCUUUUCACAUAAUCUCAUUUUGUAUAAAAAUCUAAAAUAUAUGAUCUAAUCCUUGGUCUAUAAGUAUGUAGGUUAUGGACGACACCUAAUGUAACUAAGAAACAACUCGCAACUGUACACAUUUGCAACCAUACUGUCAAUGUAAGAUCAAUUCUUUUACUGUAACAACCCGUUUUCAAUGAAAUCGGAACAGUGGUUUCGGGACCACAAAUCUGAAGUUGGAGAAAAAAAUUUAUUUUAUUAUUUUAUGGUCUACAGUAUGAUAAAAAUUUCGUAUAAAAAUUUCGUUAAGAAAUUUUACCGUUUACAUGCCUAAUUUGAUAAAAAGGACUAAAUUGUAUAAAGGGCAAAAGUUAAGUUCUAAUACCUAAAGGGAUUAAAUAGCUAUAAAAUUUUAAAUUGGAGGUCUUUAUAUGAUAAUUAUCCAUUAAGGUUGAUUAAUGGUUAAGCAUGAAUAGUCAUCAUUAAAAUUGAAUGAAUUAUUAAGGUUAAUUUUGGAAAUUAGUGAUUAAAGUUAAGAUAAAAAAAAAAAGACAAUCAUCAUCAUCUUUCACCAAAAAAAAAAAAGAAAAGAAAAGAAACCUAGCCAUGGAAGUUUGAAAAUUUAGGCAAGCUUAUUUUGCUUAAUUAGGUAUGUAUUCUUGUCCCGUUUAUUAUGAUUUCUAUGUUUCCGAUAUUGUAGUAGCUUAAUCUAGCUAGCUCGAGGAUUAAUUUGCAAAACUGUUAAAGUGUUAGGGUUUUGCCAUUGAUGAAUAUGCUUGAAUUUUGAAGUUUGAUAAUAGAAAAUUAAUGGUUGUUGUUACAUAAACAACUUUUGUAAAGAGAAUUUUGAUGAAAUCAUUAAUUAGAGACUAAAUUAAAAAGGUGAUAAAUUUAUGGUAAAUUUUGUGAAAUUGUGAAAUAUAUGGGCUGCUAUUAAUAUGUGUAAAAAUUGACUAGGCUUGAGUAAGGAUUAAAUUGCAUAAAAAAAAAUUUCGAGCCUAGUGACUAAAUUACAAAGGAAUUUAAAAGUAUAGGGCAAAAUGGUAAUUUUUCCAAAAGUUCCAUGUUGAAUUAAAUUGAAUGAGAAUUAUAUUGAAAUGAGUUAAAUUCAUUCAUAUAAAUCCUGUCAGACUUCGUACAGAGUUGGAUCGAGGCAAAGAGAAAAUAUCUGAUUAGACGCCUCCGUAUUUACAUACACUUAUUGAGGUAAGUUCGUGUAAUUAAAUUGAGUAUUUAUGUGUUUUAAUUGAAUCAUUUGUAUGUGAUUUGUAUAAUUAUUAUGUAUAAAUACCAAUCGCAUAUCCGAUAAUUACCGAGUCCCGUUUGAAUUUUAGGAAUUCGCAGGAUACAAAUGACAUGUCAUUAGGAUUACCGAUUUGGUUGGGGUCAUGCAUGUGUUGCGGACACACCAUAGCUCGCAUGAGCUUCCCGUUACUCAGCUCGCAUAAGCUUCCCGUUAUUCAGCUCGCAUGAGCUUCCCAUUAUACAACUCGGAGGAGCUUACUAUUUACAGCUCGUAUGAGUAUACAUGUAUAUGAAUUGACGAAUUACAGUUAAGUACACUUCAUGUGUACUACCCGUGUAUCCAACGAUAUUCUAAAUGGUUCAACGGGUACAGUUCUGUUACGAGAUUAUAUGAGUUCGAUAUGAACUAUUACUAGUAUUUACAUGAAAUACAUGAAAUAUGAUUAUUUGAUGAAUUCAACCAUGUGUGUUGGAUCUUAUAUGUGAUUUUCAUGGCUAAUAUGUUGGUGAUCAUGUGUUUAGGCUUUUGGCCAAAUUGGUUGAGAUAUGCUUUGUUUACUUACCUAUUUUACGGAUAUAUGGUAAGUUAAAUUCUGUUUUAUACGAACUUACUAAGCUUAAAUGCUUACUCUGUGUUAUUUUCUAUGUUUUAUAGUAAUUUGGAAGCUCGUACGAGUUGGAAGCUUGUCGGAGCUAUAUCACACUAUCCAUCGGCUCUUUUGGUACUUUUGGUUAAUUAAUUCCGAUUAUAAUGGCAUGUAUAUGUUAAUUUUACCAAUGUUGGCAUAUAAUUGUUUUGUUGAGAUUAGCCAUUUAUAUGGCUUGUGUUUGGUAUAUUUUGAUGUGUAUAUAUGAUGCCUUAUCAUAUUUGAUGUGUGUUUGAUAUGGUAGAAUGAAAGAAAGUAAAAUGUGGUUUGAAAAUGCAUAUAUGUAUUUGGUAAUUUAGGUAAGUUUGAAUACUUGGUUGACAUGUGUUUAAGUUGU
rnacentral:lncRNA from 1 species